AGCACCACAACAGGUGGAGCCUGCGUUUAUCGGACUCAACGCCGGGAAACUCUACCAGUUAAGACAGCUGAAUGAUAGUCGGGCUGAAGACUCUACUUUGACUAGCUGAGAGGAGGUGCAUGGCCGUCGUCAGUUCGUACUGUGAAGCAUCCUGUUAAGUCAGGCAACGAGCGAGACCCACGCCCACAGUUGCCAGCGUACUCUCUGGAGUGACGGGUACGACUGUGGGACCGCCGCUGCUAAAGCGGAGGAAGGAAUGGGCAACGGUAGGUCAGUAUGCCCCGAAUAUCCCGGGCUACACGCGAGCUACAAUGGUUGGUACAAUGGGUAUCUACCCCGAAAGGGGAACGGGAAUCUCCUAAACCAAUCUUAGUUCGGAUUGAGGGCUGCAACUCGCCCUCAUGAAGCUGGAAUCCGUAGUAAUCGCGUUUCAACAGAACGCGGUGAAUACGUCCCUGCUCCUU
rnacentral:rRNA from 1 species